rnacentral:rRNA from 1 species
AAAGGAAUAGACGGGGGCCCGCACAAGCAGCGGAGCGUGUGGUUUAAUUCGAGGCAACGCGAAGAACCUUACCAGGGUUGGACAUGCUGGUGGUAGGGAGGUGAAAGCCGACCGACUCUUCGGAGAGCCAGCACAGGUGCUGCAUGGCUGUCGUCAGCUCGUGCCGUGAGGUGUUAGGUUAAGUCCUGUAACGAGCGCAACCCACGUCGUUAGUUACAAGUGUCUAGCGAGACUGCCGGUGAUAAGCCGGAGGAAGGUGUGGAUGACGUCAAGUCAGCAUGGCCUUUAUAUCCUGGGCUACACACACGCUACAAUGGCCGGUACAAUGGGUCGCCAAGCCGCGAGGCGGAGCCAAUCCCGCAAAGCCGGUCACAGUUCGGAUUGCAGGCUGCAACUCGCCUGCAUGAAGUCGGAGUUGCUAGUAACCGCAGGUCAGCAACACUGCGGUGAAUACGUUCCCGGGCCUUGUACACACCGCCCGU